CGACACUUGAUGGUUUGUUCGCGUGAAAACGAUAAGAAGACGAUCGUGUACCGAAGGAACGCAUUUUCUGGCAGUAUUCAGUGUGUUGAGAAGUAUUCAGAAGGACAUAUUCGCCUUUAUCUAAAAUACACAAAAUUCGUACUAUCAGGAGUGUGCAAACGAAGCUCCGAUGGAAGAUGCAAAAUUAUAACGACGAUAUGUUCAGCGAAUGAUCAAUUCAAGCGAGGUCACGUCAGAUUUCACCGACGAUGAAAGUUAUCGAAACUUCCAGCACGUCGGCUCGAUAUCGACGUCUCACGACAUCCCCGAGGAGCAGCAACAACUUCCAUCCAGCGAAAACGUCGUCGCUGACUGGAGCGACGAGACAGAGCGGCGGCUCUAGCGAUAGCAAAAGCACGUCUGCAAGUUUCGACACACACGAUGAACCGUCCACCACCGGUUAACCCAUUCGGCUGGCAUAACGAGCUGAACUCAUGCUCCGUGACUCGAACCGCAAUAAUCUACCAGAUCCGACUCGUGGAACGGGUACCGAUAACUUUUUAACGAGAUGGUUUUGGAGUAAUACUUUACAGAUACGGUUACGCAAAAAUUUGUUACAUCUUACCGUAUCUAUUUUGUAUAAUCGACGCCAUGAUGGUUUAGAUACUGUGUAUAUGCACGUUGCAUGAUGAUGGCGAUUAUAUUCUCGACGGCAUGUCGACGACAAUCCAAGUACGUUCACUUUGACAGAGGACUAAGAAUAAAAGCUUCAUUUUUAUAAUAAUUACAGAUCAACCCCACAACAAAGAAAAUAUUCGCUGGUAAUUAGUAGAGCACAAUAACGAGAAAUACAAAUUGGUAAGCAGCACACGUGCUAGUAAUUAAAAUUGUGCAAUAAAAACACGAUAACAGUUGAGAAAAUGCAAUUAACCAACCACAUAAAAUUCACUCGUUUAGUUUGGCCUGAAAAUUCUGAGACAACUUGAACCAAAAAUGCGGAUAAUCCUGAAUGAAACAUCAGAGUGUAUAUGUAUAUCUCUAGAAUGAAAACAAUAAAUUAAAAGUGAAUACAAAUGAAAUAAAAUUAAACCAAAGUAUGCGACAAAAUAAAAAUUAAUCAGAGACACGAUCAUGCUCCCUAA